CAACUUUUUAAAAAUACGUUGGUGGCGUUUAACUGAUCUCAAACAACCCCACCAAGACUGGUCUGCUGUCAGCAAUGAUAGAGGUUUUGUGUUCAAAUACUGUACGUAAAAAUAUGUUGAAAGCCACCACGUUACCACGCUGUUGCUGCUGCUGCUGAGAAAUGAAUUUUUUAAAAUCGUCAUGUCGGUGGAAAUUAUUAUUCACCAAAACAGGACUUGAUCUAUUUCCUGUUUUGCCACAUAAGUUAAAUGCCUUGUGCCGUUUAUAAUCACGCACACGCACGUAGAGCACUUUACGGUUUGCAGAGCUCUGGCUCACGACCUCACUCGGGCCUCCGAGAUUCCUUGGAGGCAGCACAGGCGUGCGUUCUCACCUUCGCCUUGAAGAAGUGAAGACAGAGACCCAGGCCGCCUGGGAGAAGUGAGCGGGUAGGACAGUGGGAAGGGACCCGCCCGUGUGCAGCGGCCCCCGCCCUGGGGCACAGGUUCCCUCUGAAACCGAAAAGCCGGGCCACACUCAUUCCCGACCCCCGCAGUGAGGACGCAGACCUGCCGAAAAGAAAGCAACAUUUCCCAUCAUGAAAAACUAUCCUUUUGCAGUUAUGCGAGGCAUAGAGGACAGCAAUAAAUGAGGACAUGUCCCACGGGUCCGGCAAACGGCGUGCUGGUAGAUAAUUAUAUUUUGGAAUGACUUUACGCUCAGUUGAGUUGAUCUUGGCCAGCGUUCCGAGUGUUUCCACAUGCUAUGUGCUGACCAAAUUCAGUUUUCUAAUCUCUUUGCACACACUUGCCCGGCUUCCUCCCAGGUUUUGUCUGUUCCCUCCGCCGGUGUGCCUCAGGCGGCCCCUGUGGGCCCAUAAUCGUGCCGGGUGUUCAAAACCCAAGUGGUAGGUCCGAGUUUCCGGCUUGAGGAAAUAUUGCCGAUAGGGCCUAUGUCGGAAUCCUUUCUUUUGGCAGGUGGGGUUGUGCGUUUUGCACAGAACCCUAGGAGAGGAAUUUGGACAGACCUAGAGUGUGAGUGACUCAGACACGCCCCUUCAUGCCCUGAGCCGUACCUUCUUGGUCUAAAAAAGUAAAGGGCUGGGUGACAAUUUCUUUAAGGUCUCUUCUAGACGUGAAGUUGAUGAUCUAGGGCGAUGCCUGUCUGGAUGUGGCAUUAACACAGGAAUCUCCCUAAAGGAGCCACUGCUGUGAAUCCACCAGUUACGUCCAUCUCCUUCCCUCCCUGGAGGAUGUCUGUCUAUACCUCCUGAUGUAAAUGUUUUACAACCUUCGCUCGGGAAGGAAAGCAGCCGUCCUUUGCUGCUCUCUCUGCCUCUGCUCUUGUUUAUGUUAGCUCCCACUGCCUCCAAAAGAACCAGGAAGCAUAGAAAGCAGGGCCUUAUUAGUGGGAGAACAUUUUUUUUUAAUGUUUAUUUAUUUUUGAGAGAGGUGGAAAAACAGAGCACGAGCAGGGAAGGGGCAGAGAGAGAGAGGGAGACACAGGAUCCGAAGCAGGCUCCAGGCUCCGAGCUGUUGGCCCAGAGCCCGAAGCGAGGCUCGAACCCACAAACCGAGAGACCACGACCCGAGCUGAAGUUGGAUGCUUAACCGACUGAGCCACCCAGGUGCCCCAGUGGGAAAACAUUUCUGAAGGGCAGUCUUCUUCCCAUGAUGUUGUGCGCGUGCACAAAUUAAAGACUGUGAAUCCUUCGGCUCUGAUUUUAAAACUUGAGCAGAAACACGAGUUAGUAAAACAAAGGCCCUUUCCCCACCGUUCUGAGACCCGUUCUGGCAAAUGGUUCUGGGGGUUGCAUGAUGGUUUGUGGUACCCGAAGAAGUGAUUCCCUGGGAAGGCAGAUUGCUUAAUCUUUUCAGAAACCAUGGAAACCCCCUGGGGCCUCUCUGCUUCCCUCUGGUGCGAGUCCUCAGCAGAAGAACAGGCUGGAAAGUGCCUGUCGCGGGAAGAGGUUAGCGUCCUGAAUGCACGCGGUGUGGGCAAGAUCACCCUCAGAGCCAUCACUGUUUCCAAGUCCUGUUUCUGGCUUCCUUCCAACGUGAAGUCACCGCCGACAUUCUGUUGUGCUGUUUCCUGUUGUGGGUGGAUUUAUUUAAUUUUUAAUGAGUGAUUCACAACCCAUGGCUGUCUGUUUUUCCUCCUGCUGAGAAUUAAGACAUGUUUCCUUUAAAAAAAAAAUUGUGCUAUCAUCUGGGCACCGUGGUGCUCGGCGUGUUUGGGACAGGGGGACAUGGUGAUACCACAGAGGGGAGGCAUUUAGCCUCCCCGGGACUCUUAUGAAACAGCAGUGAUGAAAUCAUCCUGUGACUAUGCUGCUCCAGGGUAGAGGCGGUCGGACCUCAUUAUACAUCCCCAGACCCUCCUUUCUCUACAAAUGUUGUUGAAUGCCGUGUAGCUGUUUAAAAAAAAAAAAAAAAAAUUCUUUUUUUCACGUUGCUACAAAUCCAUUCUGCUUGGAAAGCCACGUGGUCAGUCUCCCUCCCGGAGAGCCCAGUAAUAUAAUCAGUUGCCACUCACUCAAGCUUCCUCCUCGUCUGCCUGUUUACUCCAAGCGGCCUCUGUCCACCCAGCUGGGCUCAUGUGCCGCCUCUGGUCCAUAACCUUAAUGGAAAAUAGCACCGGGAGGCGGGGGGGGGGGGGGCGCGCAUCUUGGGGACCAGAGCUGUUGAGCUCCUGUCUCACGGUCACUCCCUGCCAGCCUGCUUCCACUCCUUGGCAGAUCAGCAUCGCUCCUUCAGAUGGGUGGGGGGGUGCCUCCAUCUGUACAGUGAGGCACUCCUGCCUGGCCUGGGCGUAGCCGGCCAAGCUCGUGCCCCACGCCUGGCACCAAGGACCCCAGCGUGGGGCUUGUGUACUGAGUCGGACCGCAUCAGAAAUCUUUUUUUUUUUUUUUUUUUUUUUUUUUUUUGCUUUUUUUAAGUAGGCUUCAUGCCCGGCAUAGAGCCCAACACGGGGCUUAAAGUCACAACCCUGAGAUCAAGACCUGAGAGGAGAUCAAGAGUUGGGUGCAAAACCGACUGAGCCACCCAGGCGCCCCCAGAAAUCUAAAUAGUGCAUCAGGUCCACCUGGGUGGCUCAGUCGGUGGAGUCCACCUUCGGUUCAGGUCACAAUCUCACGGUUCAUGGGUUCGAGCCCCAUGUCGGGCUCCAUGCUGAUAGUGGGGAGCUUGGGGCCUGCUUCAGAUUCUGUGUCUCCCUCUCUCUCUGCCCCUCCUCAUCCCCCGCUUGUGUUCUGUCUCUCUCUCUCUCUCUCUCUCUCUCUCAAAAAAUAAAAUAAACAUUAAAAAAAUUUAAAUACUGCAUCAGAAAUACAAAUAUUACAUCAAGAAUCUAAGUUCCCAAGACGGCUCUCCAAGUACCUUUUCUAGAAAUUCAGAUACCAUGGCAGAAAUGCAGGUGUUGUACUCCAAGUCCAAAUACCUGGUCAGAAAUCCAAGUGCCUGGUUAGAAAUUCAAGUAGCAUGUAAGAAAUCCAAAUACUUCUCGUCAACAGUGCAAAAGUAUUUGAUGAUUUCACUCCUAUGUGGAAUUUAAGAAACACGGCAGAUGAACAUAGGGGAAGGGAGGGAAAAAUAAGAUGAAAACAGAGAGGGAGGCAAACUGCAAGAGACUCCUAAGUACAGAGAACAAACUGAGGGUUGAUGGAGGGAGGUGGGUGGGUGAGGGGUGGGCAUUGAGGAGGGCACUUGUUGGGAUGAACACUGGCUGUCGUAUGUAAGAGGUGAAUCACUAAAUUCUACUCCUGAAACCAAUACGACACUAGAUGUUAACUGACUUGAGUUUGAAUUUAAAAAAAAUAAAAUAAAUCCAAAUGCUUCUUUAGGGUUCUUUAGGAACCCAAGUACCACGUCUGAGCAUUUGUCACUGUAGUGCGUAUCGGGUCCUCAUUUUUCCCUAGAAUGUGUGGCCCCUUUUCUGAAAUUCAUUUUAAAAGUUAAAAAAAGGUAACUUUUAUUUCAGCUGGGCUCCUAUGCAGUUUGUAGAAACUUGUCUGUUGUCUGAGUCGGGGUGACCCUGGGAGAUACGAAACAGUUGGCAGUCGCCCCUAGUCACACAGCGCAGUGAGGGUCAGUGGAUGGCUGAGGAAGCUUUUUCGUGACGUCUCUAAUCCAGAUUCCGCGAAAGACCAAGAACCAGUGUCGGCGGGGUCUCGGCAAUCCUGGUGGGAAGUUUCUUAAAUCCACAGGAAAGGGUUUUCUUUGAGGAUAUGGUUAAAAGAGAAUUAAUUACAUCCUCGUCUUGGGAAAUGAAAAGUCAAAUUAAGCGAAUGGCCUGAUGAAAGAGAGCUCCCGGUUCGGCUGUAGAAACUCGUCUUUUCUUGAACUCCUGUUUUCUGUUCUCCAUGAUUUGUAGAAUAUGGAAAACAUCGCUGGAACGGUCGCCUGGUUGGCUAGGAGACAAGGGGACGGAGACCAAGCGAGUUGGCUCCGCGCCUGACUGUGACCUGCGGGACGCGGCAGCUCGAGGGGCGGCCAGUGUCCUCGCCGGGACCCAGCAGCUCCCCAGGUCCACGAACGAUUGCGGAAGGAGGGGGAGUGCAAGAGUGGUCGGGCACGGGGAGCGGGGGAGAGCAGGCAGUAAAGUUAUUACAGACUUCAAGACAGCGGCUACUGGGCGUGAAACCCCAUGCACCGGGCCCUUCUGAGUGUGGGUCUCUGGGCGACAGCUCUGGUCUCUUACCCCCCACCCCCCCCACCCCACCGCCAGCAGCCCAGCCGUAAGAAAUGAUGGUCAGAGCGCUGGAAUGUUCACUCCUGGAUUUUGUAAUAAGGGACUUCUGUUCCCGAGGAACGCGGUCCAUUUCCAAAGAGUGUUUUAUUUCUCUCUGCAUCGUUAGUUCAUAGGAAGGUCUUCCCUGAAACAGCCCUCGCUACCCAACCCCCAGCCCAUGUCACGUUCUGCAUUCUGCAGCCCUGUUUCACUUUCUUUAUGUUGUCGUUCAAGCCCUAGUGCGAGGGUGCACUCUGUCCCCUGCGGGAACGUAGGCACACCAGCGAGGGCACAAUGAGGGAGUGUGUGUUUAUUAUUCCUUACGCUGCCUCACAUCCUUUUUGGAGCAAGGUGGAUAUAAAUACACAAAUGAAGUCAACUGGCACCCCGAAAUGCAGAGUGCAGAGUGGGGGGGCUUGCCAGAACUCGGGCAUACCUGCCAGGAGACCGAUGACAGCAAAACAGUCAUGUGCCUUUUGGGGCCUCCAUUUGAAGGACUUAAGACGGGUCCCCGAGGCCCCUAAAUUCUCAGGGUCGGCGGAUCCAGAAUCACACCACGGGAUUACUCAGCUCGCACCACGAGAUUACUCAGCUCGGCUAAUGGCCCAGAGCCUGCGGUGGGGUUUGAAAGUGGACGGCCCCCAAGGCUUUCUGGGGUUUCAUAAAUAGCUUCGUGCGAUAGGUUGUUAUAAACACGUCAAAGCCUUGUUUUCCUGUGACACUGCAAUAUUUGGUGAGUUCUUCUGGAUGGCAUAGCAGAAUGGCUGAAGUAAACAUUGCCUGGAGUGGUUGAGUUUGCUGAGCGUUGGGGAAAACUGUCAGGUCAGGAACCUAAUCAUUCUUACAUGCCUCAUUUGUCAUUUCUUUUUUUUUUUUUUAAGUUUAUUUAUUUAUUUUGAGAGAGAGAGAGAGAGUACGAGCAGGGGAGGGGCAGAGACAGUGGGGGCAGAGAGAAUCCCAAGCAGGCUCCUUGCUAACGGCAGAGGGGCUCCAUCCCACAAACCUCAAGGUCAUGACUUGAGCUGAGAUCAAGAGUCAGACGCUCAACCGACCGAGCGACCCAGACGCCCCGCCCCCAUUUAGCAUCUCUGCCCAUGUUUACACUCAUUCUCCACACGCGUGCGCACACACGCUGGGAAGAAAAAACCCCAGACCGCCUUGAAGCAAAUGGACGUGACCUCUCUUUCUAGAAUGCGUGUUAGUAGGAAGUAGGGAGCUUUCU